rnacentral:lncRNA from 1 species
AGGAGAGGAGCUGGGAGAGGCCACGGCUGCGCUGCAGGCCCCCGUGAAUUGCAAGCCCUGUCUUCAAAAGUAAUCCUGCCGUGAUGUUCUUCAAAUCUCUCUUAAAAACACCGUAAACAUGCCACAUGAGUAGAUUUUUGCACUGGCUGAAGCUAGAGCUGUGUACAGUAAGACCUUUCCCAAGAACGAGAUUAAAAGGAAAAAAAAAACAAAAACAAAAAGCACCACAAAUACCAGAGCAGGCGCUGUGUGCAGGAACUGCAGCUUUGAAAGUAAGACGCUGGUUUCCCUGGGGCCUGUCACUGGCUCCAUGGCAAGAACUGAGGACUUCAGGUUUGAAUCCAUCGCAGGAGGUGGCUGCUUCUUCUCCUCAGUUGUAGUGGGAGUGCAUAGAAGAUUUUUUGAACCAUCAUACCGCACAGGAGAUGUGGACGCGGCCAGGCUCGAGCGGGGCCGAAGGGCAGUGACCGUGGUCCUUGUGCCCAGGCGGCGUGCGAGCAUGCGCCCUGCCCUCGCUGGACCGGCAUCGAGGCCGCGCCAGGGCAGGAUGAAGUGGCCCAGGAAAGCGCAGAGUCCGCCGGUGCCUGGGCAGGGUGUCUGAGACACGGUGCCCGUCCGGCCGGUGCCCCGGCAUCCCUCACCUUCCUCCCGCUCUCGGUGCUGACCCAGGGUUUCUCGAGCCCCUUGGG